AGUUAUGGCAUUUAGUCUUAACGGUUAGAGCAGCAGGUGUGUUGUGUUUUGCUGCUGCCUGCCUCAGAGUCAGAAUAUCAGUCAGUCUGUAAUAGUUUAAUCUAUGUGAGACCUAUUAGCAAUUUAAGUAUCACCUACCUGUGUUGUAUAUUUAAUCUGCAACUGAAAGUAUACUAAGUAAAAGUAUACUAAGUAAAAGUUAUAUAUUAUUUCAAACUUGCAUAGUUUUUAUAGGUGAAGACAGGAGUGCCUGGCGUGCUCUGGUCCAUGGGGUCACGAAGAGUCGGACACGACUAAACAACAACAGUUUUUAUAGGAGGAGAAAAGAGAACUAAUUAAAGGGUCAAACAUCCCAGAGCUGACUUCUGCAUAUCUCUGCAAAUGGGAACUAGAGUCUAAUUCCCACAUGGUUGACUAAAAUGCCCAUGGGAAGCCUGCAAGAGCGCUCAGCAACUGGUAUUGCUAAACUCCUAAAAUACUUUCAAAGUACAAACCAUAACACCUCUUUCAGAUGCUCAUGAAUUAAGCCAAGAAAAGUAAAAAGACCACCAAACUCUCCGUGGUAGCAGAGUGGCAAGGACCCUAAUAUUUUGAGCUGAUGUCAGGAAUCAUAUCCAUAAGUUACGGCAGCAACUUUAUCGCCACAACAUCACCCUCUCCCUCUCAGUAACCUGCAUGCAGCAUUGGGAAGCUAGGUGAGCAAUGUCAGCUAGUAUUACUUCCAAGGUAAACAGUGUAAGCACAACCAGAAGCUGCACCAAAAGUUCACAUUACACUGCUUGAAGAAGGAACAUAUGUUCUCAAGUAAACUUAGUGCUGUACAAAAAGAAACGCCUUUUUUUUUUGCAAUGUAACAAGCUUUAUUAAUAGUCUUACAAUACAUUACAUAUAUAUAGUA